CUCGAGUAGGGCCCAAGCCAGCCAGGAAGGAGGAGGCAGCCAGAGUGUCCUCUGCAGCAGAAGAUCCCAGACCAGCAUCUGCUUAACCCAGACCAGCAUUUGCCAGGGAUGGAAGAGCUGAGUUCCAUACAUGUGUUUGCAUCUGGAAUCCUGGUUUGGAGCUGUUGAUGUCCCAGCUGUGAUUAGAUCAGUUAACCAUUGAAAGUAGAUAACUGCACAGACUUACAAAAAUAUGAAUAAUUGAAAUGCCUGUGGCUCGCUUCCCACGCUCAGCGGCCCGCAUCUCUUGCCUGCGUCUCUUGCCUCUAAACCUAGCAUGAAAGAGGCCCUUCAUAAUGUGAAACCCAAAGCUGUAGCUGACUUUUUAGUGACCUAAAUCCGGCACUGCCCUGACUGCUGCCAUCAGAGCAGAUCUUUAGGAUUCAUCUGACCUGGGCAAGCUUUGCAAGGAGUGCCUCGCCUCACAAUCCUUGAAGAGAUUGCAAGAAGCACACCAGGAGAGAAGAGGAGCUUGCUGGCCACCUUCUCUCCUCUCUGCCAUUCAUGCCUCUCUCAAAGCUGGCAAGGGUCAUUUUUGAAUGGGGGCUGACCCUCACCAGGUAAGGUAAGGCAGCUUUUGACACUUUGCCUCAGGCUCUGCUGUACUUUGAGCCACCCUUGCCCACUUCAUAGACUGAAACUUGCUUCUCAGUGAGCAUGCAUAGGAUCAGGCUGAAGCAAGGGCUGCUCAUGGGUGUCCCUCAACACAUUUGAUAUGUUUUGCCUUCUGACCCAAGAUUUGCCUGUUAAGACGGGCAUUUUCUUGUCUAAUAUGAUCUCUGUUAUUUCCCCAUGUACCUUCAGUGUUCUGUUUUAUGGCUGAUUUACCAUUGUAUAGAUCCUAAAUCCCCAGAGUCAACAUCCUACAUCUUUCUCAGGAAGACCAAACCCUCAGGUAAUAGCUAACUACCCCCCAACCCAUGGUUCUCUGCUAGAAACUAUCCCAAAUAACCAGUAAGUUAGAGAAGCCACUCUUCAGCACAUAGCCCUCGCUGCACAAAGCAUCACUCAACCUAUAAAAAUUGCCAAUAGAAUCCCCUCCAGUUCACACAGCUCCCAAGAUCCAUCCUCGGGCUGUGACCCUUUGCUUCCCAACAUCUCACUCCACCUUUGCCACCAUGGAUCCAGGCUUCUCUUCCUUCACAUCAGGAAUAGGUAGUAAAGGAGGCUUCCUCUCUUCCUCCACCCCUGGAACCUCUCCCUUCUCUCCCUGAGUCCCCCCCUUUCUUGAGUGUGUGUGUGUGUGUGUGUGUGUGUGUGUGUGUGUGUGUGUGUGUGUGAGAGAGAGAGAGAGACUGCCAGGGUAGGUUGGGAGGCCUCAUGAAAGGUCUACCAUGAUUGGCACAGACCAGCCCCACUCUCCUGACUCCCAGAAGCCACCCAUUUUUGGCACAGGUUGUCACCACUGACCUCCCUCUUUCCCAGAGGCCGGGUUGCAGAAGCAGGGUUCAACCCUUGUGUUCAACCCCCUAUGAUCCGGAAAUGAGCAGCCACUCUUCUGUGAAGUUCACAAAGCUGUUUGCUUUCUUUCUCUCUAGCCUCUCUCCCUGUCUUCUGAAACAGAUUGGAUCAAACACCCACCACUGUUUCCCUUCCCGUCUCUGUUAGCUACAUACUUGUAUUUAUACUUAUAGCAGAGGUAAACCACUGAGCCUGGGCAUGCUUCCAGCAGUGGCUGAGUCACGUGGGAAUUCCCUUGUUACCCUUAUUUGCAUGUAGCCACACAACCUUUUUAUGUGGAUUUAAGCCUGUGGGUUUUGACAUUCUAAGGAAACUGCCUGCUUUAUAACCAGGCUUAAAGGUCCUGCAGGUGGGGUAAAAGUUCCUUACAUAACAGGAGUGUGUGUCUCUGCAACACAUCGGAAGAAGGGGAGAACUGGCAAGCAGGGAUGGGUGCUUAACCCUUCCAUAACUGCCGUUUCCCCCUGCAACUCUUGGAACAGCUUUCUCCCCAGCAAGAUUCUCAAAUGUGGGUUUCCUGCAUCAAGUAGGGAAACACUGCUAUUGUGGGGAGAGGCUUCAGGGGUGAAAUCAAUGUUCAGGACAAGGAUUAAGUCCCACACCCCACCACAUGCCCACCACCCCUGCAAAUUCCUCCACAUAAUGAUUUGUAGCAGAGAAGUGGUAUCUGGAGUCCCCAGGACAGUGUGUGUUGCCAAACGUGUGGAUUAGGCCUGAGGAAGGAAGUGCAUGAGCAGCAGGAAGUGGUAUUAAAUGUCUGUGGACUCAUGUGCUCCUUGUCAACAGACUGCCCUGUAUUGCGCACAGCAUGGCCAGGAAGAGACUCAAAUAUUGGAGUAAUAAUCCGAGUAGUAGGAUUAAUUUUUCGGUUGAAGCAAACAUAAUCAAAAUAGCUUGGGUUUUGUUUGCCUUCAGAAACAUCGUAGCCAGAGAGAUUGAGAUCACUCUGAUAGGGCACUCCACUGCCACACACGAAGACAAAAUUCAUUGUAUUUAAUCCGUCAACCUACACAGAGCAGUCAAGAAACAGGAUGUGGGAAGGGUUUUGGAAAGGGCAGAGAAGGAUUUUCUUGCAUAUCCUGUCCCGACACACACAAAAAGAAUGAGGUUGUUUGUUUAUCUGAACUAUGUUUUAAAAGAAGGAGAUUUCUGGAGAAAAUUGGUCUGCACCUAAUGAAAAACCACCAGAAAGGAAACAGUCUUUUUAAAGCAUUUAAAGCAGGGAGAGUCACUCCAGCCACGCUGCGAAUGCAGCGUGUGCCAAUUUCUGCUCUAAACAGGGCUGUGUGGCCCCAUUUGUGACUGAAAUAACUCCCCUCACUUCUGAUGUCAGAUGUGGGGGGCAUGUCUGGGGCUGCGCUCGCAGCCCGAUUGGUGGCGGCCCGGGUUCUUUUAACCCAUUUGCCCAAUGGUGGCUUCGCCCCUGUCCGCACUGGGAGCCUCAAACUCUGGCCCUACUAUAGAUGUUGGUCUAAAACUCCCAUUAUCCAUGGAAUAUGGGAACAUAGGAAGCUACCUUAAACCAAGACAGGCCAUCGGUCUAGCUCAAUAUUGUCUACACUGACUGGCAGAGAUUGUCUGUGGCUUCAGAUUGGGCUCUUUACCUGUCCUACCUGGAGAUGCCUGGGGUUGAACCUGGGACCUUCUGCAUGCAAAGCAGAUGUUCUGCCACUGAGCUAUGACCCCAGCCCAGCCCAUCUUCAGGUGGUCGAGAACAAUGGAGCUGGAGAAGCAAAGGUCAGAGGGAAGAGCAUGUCAGGAGAUAAGGGCAAGCCUGUAGAAAGCUUUGAAGGGAAUGCUGAACUUGAAAUAUUAAUGUCUAUUUUUAAGACUGCUCCUGCCAACUACCAUCUUGUAUCAGGUGGGACUGGAAGCCAGCGUAUGGAAAGAUCAGCCCUCGCUCUCACACGCUUCGAGUACAAAGAGGCAUCAUUAUCUUCUGUAGCACACAUUUGCCAGCCAUCCUUGGGCCGAUGGCAAAAUCAUAGCCUUAUUAUCUCGCAGCCAUCGAUUCUGAUCCUCUUCAUUUCUAACAUGCUUUUCCCCCUGCCCUCUUUAGACUCAGGGAGGGAGGGAACCCUGCAAAACCACUGAAGCUUUGAUAUAGUACAAAUUACCGACUCUUUAUGUGGCAUUAUGUAUCCCUGAGCUAGGAUACAAUACGGAAAGUUUCUUGAAAGAGACUCAUUAUAUUGGCACACAAUAUAAUAAUGUAGAGAGGGUUACAGGGCUCUGCUCUGAAUAAUGUUCGGUGUUGCUGCUAAAGUUCCCUUCUCAGCUGGCUCAUCGCUGACGGCUUGUGCUC